CUCAAACCCCUGGGCUUAGGUGGUCCUUUGGCCUUGGCCUUGCAGUAGCUGGGAUCACAGGCAUGGGCCACCAUGCCCAGCCCUUGCGUUUUUAGCACAGUUGAGAGAUGAGGCUGCCCUGAGUGGGCACAACCCGAGAGCAGGGGUGCCCAGCCAGGCCCAUGAUCCAGGGGAAUCCAGAGCCUCCAAUUGCCUGGGGGCCUUUCCAGCAGUUCAAGUCAAAGCUUCUCUUUGAUUUCCUGGCCUUUAAAAAUGACAUCAGUUUCUGGAAGAAGAAGAAGAGCAUGAUCGGCAUGUCCACCAAGGCAGUGCUCUGGCGCUGCUUCAGCACCGUGGUCAUCUUUCUGUUCCUGCUGGACGAGCAGACGAGCCUGCUGGUGCUGGUCCCGGCGGGUGUUGGAGCCGCCAUUGAGCUGUGGAAAGUGAAGAAGGCAUUGAAGAUGACUAUUUUUUGGAGAGGCCUGAUGCCCGAAUUUCAGUUUGGCACUUACAGCGAAUCUGAGAGGAAAACCGAGGAGUACGAUACUCAGGCCAUGAAGUACUUGUCAUACCUGCUGUACCCUCUCU
rnacentral:misc_RNA from 1 species